rnacentral:snRNA from 1 species
AUCGCUUCUCGGCCUUUUGGCUAAGAUCAAGUGUAGUAUCUGUUCUUAUCAGUUUAAUAUCUGAUACGUCCCCAUCCGGGGACUACAUAUUAAAUGGAUUUUAGAUCACGGAGCUGGAGCCGGGCUUGCUCCGUCCACUCCAUGCAUCGGCCUGGUAUUGCAGUGUCUCCAGGAACGGUGUGCUUUCC